rnacentral:rRNA from 1 species
AUGGCAUUUAACCAGUACACGCAUAACCUACUUUCAUCCAAGAAAAUGGAUCUUGAAGGUGCAAUUGCGAACGAAAGCAUACACUUGCAAUGGACUGAAGAAGAAGACGUACGACUGGUAAAAGGUUGUUUUCACUCUCUACAACGGUUGGUUUCUAUAAUUGUUCUUAAUUACUGUAGUAUGUCCAACAUGCAGAUCUUUGCAUGCUUAAACAACUCAAUUCAGGCUAUCUAUGAAAAUUUAGAGGAUUUGUGGAACCAAAUCACCGACGAUUUCAACGAAAAUAGUCUUCAUGAACGACGGAGGCAGACAAUCCAAUGCAAGCGACACCGAUAUAAGCUAAAUCAUAGAAUUGUCUUAUUUCAUAGCAUGUGGCGUAGGGUGAGAGAUGUGUACAUUAAUGGCAGAUCCAGUGAUGAAUUAGUGUCUAGAGCACUUGAUCUGUACAAGUCAGAAACAAACAAGUCCUUCAAAGAUCUGAACUCAUGGAAUGUGCUAAGGAAUGAGCCCCACUGGAACUGGAUCAACUUCCCAGUGAUAAGACAACGAUGCACAAUUUGA